AGAAAAUUGUAAAUAUGUAUAUAUAGGGGGGAGUGAUGGUUGGAAGGUGAUGGAUUCUAGAUUCGAUGUAAUGGCUAGUGUGGACGAUAUAGUGGUUCGAUGUAAGCCAUGUAUCGAUUGCCARAUCCACACCUUCGACCAAAAUUGUUGUAUGGCUUGUGUGGGGCGACGGGCACAACGUGAAUCCGUAAUAGGCCAUGGCGGGUGUCUUUUUAAGCAUCCAAGCCAUACAACAAUUUGGGGUGGGGAGGUGAUGGAUAUAAAUCGAUGUAUGUUUAUUGUCGGAUGAUAUGGUUGCGCGAUUURMACSAAACAUACAUCGAUUUAUAUCCAUCAUGGCGCUUAUCGAUGUAUGGCUUGUGUGGGGCGAGAAACACAACGUGGAACCGUAAAACGAUCUGCAAGGGUUUCCCAAACCACACAAGCCAUACAUSGGUUGUAAGUCGCMAAACAACCACAAUUGUUGUAUUGCUUGGAUGUGUGSGAGAGGCACAACGUGAAUCCGUAAUAGGCCAUGGCGGGUGUCUUUUUAAGCGUCCAAGCCAUACAACAAUUGGGGGGGAUUAUUCUAGCGGGUUUCGUUCUCUUCGUAUCGUGC
rnacentral:misc_RNA from 1 species